CUGACUUAGACUAUCUUCUCAUUAAUAAAUAACUUUCACUCAAGGGUUUCACUUGGGAUUUGGUCAAAUACUACCUCUUUUGAUACGCACACCACCUGCACAAAUACAAUGUGAAACUGAACUAAAAUCGUUGCUUUGCUACCUUAAUGCUCAUCUGCUUAAACCUACCAGGCUAUAAGUGUAGAAUGGUUCACAGGAUCUAUUAUCACCUACUCUCUCGUUGCUUCUGUACCUGGGAAUACUCAACAACACUCAUACGGGCAGCAGACCAAUUGUGUGAAUGACGCCUCCAAGAGUUGGUAUUUGGAACUGUGAUGUAUUCAUCAAGAAAUAGGCAUUAGCUCUUCAUUUAUCACCUCAAUACAACCAACAACGAAGAGUGAUGGGAACUGUAAAUUCUUCAACUCUAGGCAGAAGCUAGUCAAGAAGUCAAAUGACCAAGAGGAACCAAUCCCCAGCCACUUCCACAUUGCUUCUUCUGGUCUGUCUGCUUGUCUAUCACUGCCCAUUGCUGCUCUAUUAGAGCUGUUUUUCAUUGUUUUGUGGAAGGAGGUUGUGUAGAUUGCCUAAGCCAAAGAACCUCCUAAUUAAUUUUGCUAUUGGUUGCUAAUGGAUCCCUCUGUCCAUGUAUUUCCAUGUAUAAUUGUAAAAUAACUACCAUACAGCAAUCUCAGUAACUAGCUACUCUUUGCAAGAAGGUUCGAUCAAGGAGCAUUGAACUACGAAAGCAUCACAUUAUAGUCUUGGUUGCCACAUCCCUCCACCAACUUGGAACAAUCCCCAAGUUUACAAGCAUGCUGGGGCCAUACUUAGUUUGGUGGCACAGGAGAAAAAAACAAAAUGUUCGGCCAUAAAUCAUGAAUGGGAAAAGCUUCUAUGCAAAUGACCCCUUGGUUUUCACGUCAGACGGCUCUGUUUGCAAGCUUCUCGGGAGGAUUUGAUUGCUGCAGGAAAAAAGGAACCACAACGCACCCAAACAAUGCAGUUAACUCUCCUGACAAAAGCUAAAGGAAGUCUGUUCUGUGCUGCACAGCUGCAGAAUAUUAGCCUCUAAGACUUCUGUGGCAUUAAAACCCAAGGCCGACACACCCAUAUUUACAGCACAUAAUGUACUGUACUGUGACCUGUGCCAAGAAACUUAACCUAUCUACUUUGGCAGAAAAACCAAGUCAUACCAGGUUAAUCCGAUUCUUAAAUUGCACAACUUCUAUACAACUGGAGGGAAACCAAACCCUUCCUUUCCCCCUCCUUCCAAUUUUUCUCUCUCAGUUCCCUUCCCAACCAGCACAGUGGCCUCAUUUUUCUCCCUGCUGAGUGCUUGCAUCUCACUUCCAAAACAAUAACAACAAGCAUAGCUGUCCUUAAUUCCUUCGGUAUUUCCCAAAUGGAUUAUUAGAAAAGAAGUGCACAGCCUGGGGAAUGCCAGUGAGCAUGAAUGAUGGGCAUAUUCCUCACUUGUGACACGCAGAAGAGCUCUGGAGCAAACUGAGUUUAACCCAGGCAGGGAACAUCAACCAGUCAUAGUGACAGCUGAUACACUAUGAUGAUGAGCAUACACGGGGCACAUCAGCUUUCUUCCACUCACUAUGGAUUGAGUGAUCUCUAAAACAUGCAAUGUGGGAGAAGAUAAAUGGAUGUAGAAAACACUCAACCUUGACUGACAUUUUGGAAAGAGAGAGAGUGGAAGAGGAAUAUGAGGACACAAGAAUUUGCCUGAAUUCUUCUUCCCUGUUCAGGUGCAUCUACAUUCUACAACUAUUGUAGGGGUCUCAAAACUUGAGAACUUUAAGAACUGACUGAGGAAUUCUGGGAGUUGAAGUCCAUAAGUCUUAAAGUUAUCAAAUUUGGAGACCCAUGAUUUAUUGGAACUGUAAUACAUGUUGGCUGAGAAUUAUAAUUCACCCGAGGGAAGACAGGGUUGGAAAAGUCUGAUCUGGACCUCCCUAUCCACCAAGAAAUAUACAAAUCCCUGUCCAUAAAGCAAGACAAUUGUUUGCUCUUGUGUAGAAUUAUUGAAAGUGGGACAUUCAGAGUCUCAACCCUUCUCCUCCACAUAAGCCUUUCCACAGAUUCUAUAUUACCAAACCCAUAAUCACUAAUGCACCUUUCCACAGAUUCAAACAACAUCUCAGCAUCUUCAAGUUAAGUCACCUGUGAGAUCAGGCAGAGCGGGCACAUUUCUGGCUUUGUUGAUUAUACAAUGUCACCUUAUGAGACCCAGGAGAUGACUUUUUCAGUAGGUCUGCCCUCUGCCAUGACAUCCUUCUUGAGAUCUAUGUUUCCCCCAACUUAAUAACUAGUGGUUGCUUGACUUAAUCUUCCUGUUGGCAGGUGG